AUCCAGCUGAUGAGUCCCAAAUAGGACGAAACGUGCGUCAUGGAU
rnacentral:hammerhead_ribozyme from 1 species